rnacentral:rRNA from 1 species
ACGAUGUUCACUUGGUGUCGGUCGCACAUACAGAUCGGUGCCGGAGCUAACGCGUUAAGUGAACCGCCUGGGGAGUACGGUCGCAAGGCUAAAACUCAAGAGAAUUGACGGGUCCCCGCACAAGCGGUGGAGCACGUGGUUUAAUUCGAUGAUAAGCGAAGAACCUCACCUGGGCUUGACAUGCUAGUGGUAGGAGCCAGAAACGGUGACGACCUUGCCUUCGGGUAGGGAGCUAGUACAGGUGAUGCAUGGCUGUCGUCAGCUCGUGUCGUGGGACGUAGGGUUAAGUCCCGAAACGAGCGCAACCCCUGUCGUCAGUUGCCAGCGGAUAAUGCCGGGGACUCUGACGAGACUGCUGGUGAAUAGCCGGAGGAAGGAGGGGAUGACGUCAAGUCAUCAUGUCCCUUGUGCCCAGGGCGACACACAUGCUACAAUGGAAGGUACAGAGAGUUGCAAUACCGUAAGGUGGAGCUAAUCCCAAAAAGCCUUCCCUAGUUCGGAUUGAGGUCUGCAACUCGACCUCAUGAAGCCGGAAUCGCUAGUAAUCGCGGGUCAGCCAUACCGCGGUGAAUAUGUACUCGGGGAUUGUACACACCGCCCGUCACACCAACCGAGUGGGGGGUACCUGAAGUCGUUCUAUCAAAGGGCGCCGAAGGUAACUUCCGCAAGAGGGGUGAAGUCGUAACAAGGUA